rnacentral:tRNA from 1 species
AUAGACCCAAGCCAUCUAGUAAAAUGAUGCGUCAGGAACGGUCGGGAUAGCUCAG